AUUGAACGCUGGCGGCAGGCCUAACACAUGCAAGUCGAGCGGAUGAAGGGAGCUUGCUCCUGGAUUCAGCGGCGGACGGGUGAGUAAUGCCUAGGAAUCUGCCUGGUAGUGGGGGAUAACGUCCGGAAACGGGCGCUAAUACCGCAUACGUCCUGAGGGAGGAAGUGGGGGAUCUUCGGACCUCACGCUAUCAGAUGAGCCUAGGUCGGAUUAGCUAGUUGGUGGGGUAAAGGCCUACCAAGGCGACGAUCCGUAACUGGUCUGAGAGGAUGAUCAGUCACACUGGAACUGAGACACGGUCCAGACUCCUACGGGAGGCAGCAGUGGGGAAUAUUGGACAAUGGGCGAAAGCCUGAUCCAGCCAUGCCGCGUGUGUGAAGAAGGUCUUCGGAUUGUAAAGCACUUUAAGUUGGGAGGAAGAGCAGUAAGUUAAUACCUUGCUGUUUUGACGUUACCAACAGAAUAAGCACCGGCUAACUUCGUG
rnacentral:rRNA from 1 species